GGUGUCAGUUAGUAUUCGGCUCGCGCACUAAUCGGCAGCUAAAUUCUGAACAUUUUCGGAGUGUUUUUUUUUGAAAUUUUUCCUAUAGAAAUUAUUGGGUGUCAAUGACAAAAUCGAAGAGAAAAUUCGCGAUCACCGACAAAUUUUUACCCAGGCUCGCUAAAAACCUGUGCACAAGAAAAGGCAGUCGUCGAGCGAACACCGGUAACCGUCUGGAACACGCGGUGCUCACCCACAUACAGCACGUGCCCUAGACAGCUAGGAACCGCAUCACCCAUCUCCAUCGGCUCGUACUGACUCAGUGAAGACUAACAGCAGCAAUGGCCCGCGGCGACGACUGCAAGACCGCCUCAAGAGCUAACCAAGCAUGCAAGCAAUUUGACGUCGCCGCUCCCUUCAAGAAGCCAAUGGCAAUUCCACCGGCCACAAAGCAAGAAGAAAAGAAAAAGGAUUACGGCGCUUGGGGUCCCAUAUUUAAAGAUAGGAAGAACUUUACCGAGAUGCAUCUCUGCUGAACUGACGAGCUACGGGCCAGAUCAUCAUAUCAUCAUCACCACAAGAAUCACAAUGUAGUGUUUAAAGCUGCUACCAAAAAUUGUUUAAAAAACAAAUAAAGGCAAUGUAAUUUCUAUCGAUUGUUUGUGGUGUAGCUUCUCUCUUGUCUGUAACGGUUUAGGGUUUUUUUUCUGCGUACUAACAAAAAAAUGUAUAUCACUUUAACAGAUUAAAUAUCAUCACCAUCCGCA